rnacentral:rRNA from 1 species
UCCGUAGGCGGGUAAUUAAGUCAGAGGUGAAAUCCCACAGCUUAACUGUGGAACUGCCUUAGAUACUGGUUAUCUUGAGUUUUAGUGAAGUAGAUAGAAUGUGUAGUGUAGCGGUGAAAUGCAUAGAUAUUACACAGAAUACCGAUUGCGAGGGCAGUCUACUAACUAACAACUGACGCUAAUGGACGAAAGCGUGGGGAGCGAACAGGAUUAGAUACCCUGGUAGUCC